AACGAACGCUGGCGGCAUGCCUAACACAUGCAAGUCGAACGAGACCUUCGGGGCUAGUGGCGCACGGGUGAGUAACGCGUGGGAACCUGCCCUUAGGUUCGGAACAACUCCCCGAAAGGGGUGCUAUACCGGAUAAUGUCUUCGGACCAAAGAUUUAUCGCCUUUGGAUGGGCCCGCGUUGGAUUAGCUAGUUGGUAGGGUAAAAGCCUACCAAGGCGACGAUCCAUAGCUGGUCUGAGAGGAGGUCAAGCCACUCUCGGGCUGAGACACGGUACAGACUCCGACGCGAGACAGCAGUGGGGAAUAUGGGACCAUGGGCGAGAGCCUGAUCCACCAACGCCGCGUAGGUGAGGCAGGCCUUAGGGUUGUACACCCCUUUGACCCGCCAUGAUAAUGACAGUACCGGGCGAAUAAGCACCGGCUCACUCCGUG
rnacentral:rRNA from 1 species